UACGGGAGGCAGCAGUGGGGAAUAUUGCACAAUGGGCGCAAGCCUGAUGCAGCCAUGCCGCGUGUAUAGAAAAACGGCCUUCGGGUUGUAAAGUACUUUCAGUCGUGAGGAAGGUGUUAAGGUUAAUAACCUUAGCAAUUGACGUUAGCGACAGAAGAAGCACCGGCUAACUCCGUGCCAGCAGCCGCGGUAAUACGGAGGGUGCGAGCGUUAAUCGGAAUUACUGGGCGUAAAGGGCACGCAGGCGGUUAAUUAAGUUGGAUGUGAAAUCCCCGGGCUUAACCUGGGAAUGGCAUUCAAGACUGGUUAGCUAGAGUCUUGUAGAGGGGGUAGAAUUCCAUGUGUAGCGGUGAAAUGCGUAGAGAUGUGGAGGAAUACCGGUGGCGAAGGCGGCCCCUGGACAAAGACUGACGCUCAUGUGCGAAAGCGUGGGGAGCAAACAGGGAUUAGAUACCCGU
rnacentral:rRNA from 1 species